rfam:Gymnopus luxurians FD-317 M1 unplaced genomic scaffold GYMLTscaffold_101, whole genome shotgun sequence.
GCCCCAUUUGUCUAAUGGUUAUGACGUCAGACUUCUACCGAUCUUUUAACGAAUCUGGAGGUUGCGGGUUCGAGUCCCGCAUGGGGUU